rnacentral:rRNA from 1 species
CGCAAGGGUGAGUAAAGCGGCGCACGGGUGAGUAACACGUGGGUAAUCUUCCUUGGAGCCCGGAAUAACUCCCCGAAAGGGGUGCUAAUGCCGGAUGAGACCACGGGAUCUCCGGAUCCUGAGGGAAAAGGCGGCCUCUGUACACAAGCUGUCACUCCAAGAUGAGCCCGCGGCCCAUCAGCUAGUUGGCGGGGUAAUGGCCCACCAAGGCAUCGACGGGUAGCUGGUCUGAGAGGACGAUCAGCCACACUGGAACUGAGACACGGUCCAGACUCCUACGGGAGGCAGCAGUGGGGAAUUUUGCGCAAUGGGCGAAAGCCUGACGCAGCAACGCCGCGUGUGUGAUGAAGGUCUUCGGAUCGUAAAGCACUGUCGGGAGGGACGAAUAAGGCGGCGGCUAAUAUCCGCAGCCGAUGACGGUACCUCCAAAGGAAGCACCGGCUAACUCUGUGCCAGCAGCCGCGGUAAUACAGAGGGUGCAAGCGUUGUUCGGAAUUAUUGGGCGUAAAGCGCGUGUAGGCGGCCUUGCAAGUUGGGUGUGAAAGCCCUCGGCUUAACCGAGGAAGUGCGCCCAAAACUACAGGGCUUGAGUACCGGAGAGGGUGGCGGAAUUCCCGGUGUAGAGGUGAAAUUCGUAGAUAUCGGGAGGAACACCAGUGGCGAAGGCGGCCACCUGGACGGAUACUGACGCU